rnacentral:rRNA from 1 species
CUACGGGAGGCAGCAGUGGGGAAUUGUUCGCAAUGGGCGCAAGCCUGACGACGCAACGCCGCGUGGAGGAUGAAGGUCUUCGGAUUGUAAACUCCUGUUGAUCGGGACGAAAGGCUUCGACCUAACACGUCGGAGAGUGACGGUACCGGUUGAGGAAGCCACGGCUAACUCUGUGCCAGCAGCCGCGGUAAUACAGAGGUGGCAAGCGUUGUUCGGAAUUACUGGGCGUAAAGGGCGCGUAGGCGGCCUUCUAAGUCGGACGUGAAAGCCCCAGGCUUAACCUGGGAACUGCGUCCGAUACUGGGAGGCUUGGAUUCGGGAGAGGGAUGUGGAAUUCCAGGUGUAGCGGUGAAAUGCGUAGAUAUCUGGAGGAACACCGGUGGCGAAGGCGGCAUCCUGGACCGAGAUCGACGCUGAGGCGCGAAAGCUAGGGGAGCAAACGGGAUUAGAAACCCUUGUAGUCC